GCAGUGUUAUAAACGCUGAGUACACAUAAAACUACUUGCGCGAAUUUAAAGCUGCGCGAAUAAUUGUCAACAAAGUGCGCGAAAUUAAAUCGCGCGAAUUUAAAGCUGAGCGAAAAUGAGUACGACUCGAAUUUUAAUACAAGUAAGGUAUAUCUUUGGUUUACACUGAUCUGUUUAAACUCCGCUUCAGUUUUGCGGAUGUUAUGUCUCUUGCUGUCAAAAUUCGUUAGUUGUUUGUGAACUAAUGACGUCAUUUCUCGUUUACGUAUUGCUAGAUGUUUAUAUCUCUAGCCAUAGGUGAUAAUAAACAAUGACUUGUAAAAUCUACUG